CCCGACUGCUAUCGGGAUAAUGCUAAGCCAUGGGAGUCGAACGCCUCCAGCCACGUGGGGGCGUGGCGUACGGCUCAGUAGCACACGGCUAAUCUACCCUUGGGAGGGGUAUAACCCCGGGAGACUGGGGCUAAUAUCCCAUAGACGAGCAACCCUGGAAUGGGUGCUCAUCGAAAGGGCGUGGGAGCAUGCUUCCACGUCGCCCAAGGAUGAGGCUGUGUUCCAUCAGGUAGUUGGCGAGGUAACGGCUCGCCAAGCCGAUAACGGAUGCGGGCAGUGAGAGCUGGAGCCCGGAGAUGGGCACUGAGACAAGGGCCCAGGCCCUACGGGGCGCACCAGGCGAGAAACCUUAGCAAUGCGGGAAACCGUGACUGGGCUAUCCCGAGUGCCAGCCGCUAAGGCUGGCUUUUCCCCAGAGUAAAAACCUGGGGGAAUAAGCGGGGGGCAAGACUGGUGUCAGCCGCCGCGGUAAUACCAGCUCCGCGAGUGGUCGGGACGAUUAUUGAGCCUAAAGCGCUCGUAGCCGGUCCGGUAAGUCCUGUGCUAAAUCCAACGGCUCAACCGUUGGGCCGCAUGGGAUACUGCCGGGCUAGGGAGCGGAAGAGACCAGGGGUACUCCCGGGGUAGGGGCGAAAUCCUAUAAUCCCGGGAGGACGACCAGUGGCGAAGGCGCCUGGCUAGGACGCGUCCGACGGUGAGGGGCGAAAGCUGGGGGAGCGAACCGGAUUAGAUACCCGGGUAGUCCCAGCUGUAAACGAUGCGGAUUGGGUGCCGGUACGGCUUCGGGCCGUAUCGGUGCCUCAGGGAAGCCGUUAAAUCCGCCGCUUGGGGAGUACGGUCGCAAGACUGAAACUUAAAGGAAUUGGCGGGGGAGCACCACAAGGGGUGAAGCCUGCGGCUCAAUUGGAGUCAGCGCCGGGAACUUUACCGGGGGCGACAGCAGGAUGAGGGCCAAGCUGAUGACUUUGCCCGACGCGCUGAGAGGUGGCGCAUGGCCGUCGCCAGCUCGUGCCGUGAGGUGUCUGGUUAAGUCCAGGAACGAGCGAGACCCUCACCCCUAGUUGCCACCGCGCAAGCGGGCACACUAGGGGGACCGCCACCGCUAAGGUGGAGGAGGGAGGGGGCAACGGCAGGUCAGCAUGCCCCGAAUCCCCCGGGCCGCACGCGGGACGGGCGGUGUGUACU
rnacentral:rRNA from 1 species